rnacentral:rRNA from 1 species
GACGAACGCUGGCGGCGUGCUUAACACAUGCAAGUCGAACGGAAAGGCCCUGCUUUUGUGGGGUGCUCGAGUGGCGAACGGGUGAGUAACACGUGAGUAACCUGCCCUUUACUUUGGGAUAACUUCAGGAAACUGGGGCUAAUACCGGAUAGGAGCUCCUGCUGCAUGGUGGGGUUUGGAAAGUUUCGGCGGUUGGGGAUGGACUCGCGGCUUAUCAGCUUGUUGGUGGGGUAGUGGCUUACCAAGGCUUUGACGGGUAGCCGGCCUGAGAGGGUGACCGGCCACAUUGGGACUGAGAUACGGCCCAGACUCCUACGGGAGGCAGCAGUGGGGAAUAUUGCACAAUGGGCGGAAGCCUGAUGCAGCAACGCCGCGUGCGGGAUGACGGCCUUCGGGUUGUAAACCGCUUUCGCCUGUGACGAAGCGUGAGUGACGGUAAUGGGUAAAGAAGCACCGGCUAACUACGUG